rnacentral:antisense_RNA from 1 species
GAUGCCUGAUCUCAUCAAUCUAGCGGGAGAGACAGGAUAACCUGUCCGAGAGUAUAGCGCCACUAUGACUCCGCCGGAAAAAUUACUUUAAAAAUCGCCAAAAAUUACUUGGAGCAAAGGGCAGUCGGCGGAGCUUCGCCAAGGCUGGCGCAGUCGGUUUUGACCUGUAGCAGAGAACCAAUUCUGGAGAACAGCCUCACUUCUUUGAUUGAAUACUCACAUAAUGCACUGGAACAUGACAUGAGAUUAAGGUUUAAUAAUGAUAGAAUGAAGACCGCAAUAAAAGAGACCUCUACUUAGCUCAGCAAUUCUUACCUUGUAAGUAUUAACUGUCUUACCUAUUUGAUGAAGAUGUCUUUUGAAAGGUGUACUGCAAGGAACAAAAUGUUUGUAAAUUCUGCUUUUACCAAGGUGGAUAAUUACUGUACCUUCCUCAUGGAAAAAGUUUUAUUUAAAGUGUUACUUCUCAUUGAAUACUAUCAAAAAGGGAAAAAAAAAUGACCUAAACUUUUGAGAUAGAUUUGGCUCUAGUAAGUAUUUAGAUAUAUCACUUGCAUAUCUGGGAGAAGAAAUAAGAGACUAUCAUCAGUACAUUCCCAUCUACUAAAAAAUUUUAUUUUACACAUGUCAAGGGAUUACUUAUAACUUCCAUUUUAUUACUAAUCGCUUGAACCCUUUUAAUGAAGACCUAACUCCUCCACCAGAAAUUUAAGUUUAUGUUCUUACUUUGUUUACAUAUAAAAUACAUCUCAGGUAUUUCGGAUGUCUUUUUUUUUUUCUAAGCCUAUAUGAAAUGAAAAAUAUAUUGGCAAAAUAAAUGUUUAAACCUUUUACGUUAAAAUUACUUUGAAAGAUGAAAAGUUAGUGCUGUUUUUGUCUACAUUAUACUGAAAUUAAAUGUUUAUAAUUUAUAUUUUGGGUUUAUGUAUAAAUCAUGGAAUUUAUGCAAAAACAUGAGUAGUACAGAUUCUCCUCUAAUUCUGUAGGACUUUGAAUAAUGUGAUAUUUUUCUUAUAAUUGGACCCUUGUGUUUUGAAGAAAUGCCAACUGCUUGAAGAAUCUCCUUGUUAUUUGUAUUAUUUGCUAUAGGGUUAGAUGUUGAGAAAUUCUGCUGACAAAAAAUUUUAAGCCAGUUUUAUACUAAAUGUUCCUCAGUCUGAUUAAUUUGUUAUUGGAUGUAUUCUGUAUCUUUCUUUUGUAAUUUGUAACUUUUAUCCACUUAGCACGAAUGAUUCUAUUAAAGAAAAUCAUUAGGAAGUGGUAGAAACUUUAAAUCGCCCCAGAGUUUGCCUGUUUCCAUAUUUUAUUAUCUUAUAAUCUUUGGGAGUGCUUACACUUAUGGAGCUAAAAUUUUCAGAGAUACAGCUUCUUAUAGUAACACUAAAACUUUCUUCCUCUUUGGACUGAAUACCUAUAAUUAUAACUAUAUGGUAGUUUAAGUUUCCUUGUGAUUAGUCAAAAAUACCAUUUUAGUAUGAAGCAAUGAAGUCUAUUAUUUGUUGUCCCAUAAUUGAGAAAGCUUAAAUACACCUUUUAUUAAGAGUUUGUAAAUUCUAGCUUAGUCUACACAGAUUUUUAUAUUAAUUUGUUUAUAUUUUUAUUAAUGUCAUUUCUGGAAGUGUGAAAAUGUUAAUGUUCAACAAGCAACAUUAAAAAUAGAUUUGAAACAUUUAUAUAUAGAGAGGUACACAUUUAUUUACUGUUUAGGUACUGAAGAUUAUCACUUAAUAAAAAAUAUAUAUCCC